rnacentral:rRNA from 1 species
UACAGAGGUCCCAAGCGUUGUUCGGAUUCACUGGGCGUAAAGGGUGCGUAGGCGGUUGGGUAAGUCUGACGUGAAAUCUCCAAGCCUAACUUGGAAACUGCGUUGGAUACUAUCCGGCUCGAGGAAUGGAGGGGAGACUGGAAUACUUGGUGUAGCAGUGAAAUGCGUAGAUAUCAAGUGGAACACCAGUGGCGAAAGCGGCUCACUGGACCGCAACUGACGCUGAGGCGCGAAAGCUAGGGGAGCAAACAGG